rnacentral:misc_RNA from 1 species
UAAACUAAAAAAAAAAUCAUUAUUACAUUUUGCAAAAAAAUAUAUAAUAAUUAAACAAAUUAACAUAGUUUUCCUAUACACAACAUUAUGUAAAACAAGUGUGAAUUCAAAUAAUAAAAAAAAUAAAAAACUUUUGCUUUUAAUAACUCUGAAACGCAAAAAACAAACAGGAUUAACUUCUAGGGAGGGGAUGGCAAAAACCAGACUAUCAACUUGAAAAAGCAGCAGUAGCACACCUACAUAUCAACAUAAUAAUUUUGUCAUACCCAAAGGAAUGUCGAAACAAUAAAAAGAACAACAAAACGACGGCAUUAAAAUGACCAAGAUUUUUACAUUAUGGACAAUACAGGUUUUAUAUCUCUUACUAGCAACCCCCACCUGGCUUUGUCAGGGUGCUCAUAUAUUGGCUGUAAUGCCUAGUGUUUGGAAAUCCCAUUAUCUAUUUGGUCAUUAUAUACUAACGCAAUUAGUGGAGCAGCAUAAUCAUACAGUGACCUUAAUAAGUCCCUAUGAAAUGGAUAACUUGACAAGGGGUAACAUGACCAAAGAAAAAUUUCGUGAAAUAAAAGUAGAGGGUUUGCUAAACAAUUGGCUGGAAAUGGGUUUGUCAUUCGAUUUGCAAGAAAUGCAUGAUAAAUCUGUUAUGGAACAUUUUACACGUCUAAUGUAUGCCACCACCAGUAAUACCGAUAAUUUGUUGCAGAAUUCACAAGUAAGGGAAAUGCUGCAGUCACCACAAAAGUUCGAUUUACUUAUAGUUGAUUUAUUUUUAAGUGAUGCCUUAUUGGGUUUGUCUUUCUACUAUCAAAUACCCACUAUGGUGUUAAGUCCCAGUGGCUCGAAUACCUGGUUAAAUCAACGUUUUGGCAAUCCUCAAAAUGCUGCCUUGGAUCCUAGUAAUUUUUUGCCUUAUGCCAAAGACAUGACUUUUUGGCAGCGUUGUGUCAAUACUUUGAUGGCCAUGUUUGAAAAAUUGACCUAUUCCUUUUUCCAUAUGAUCUCACAACAGGCUGUUUAUACGAAACAUUUUGAACCACUAUGUCAACUUGCCAACUGGUGCAAAGAACUACCCCACCAUAAAGAACUGACUGAAAAUCUAUCAUUGGCCUUAAUAAAUACACAUCCAGUACUGCAAUAUCCAAGGGCAUUUCUACCCAAUAUGUUAAGUAUUGCGGGCAUACAUUUGAAAACCACUGAAGAGCAAUUAGAAUUGCCAAAUCAUAUUAGGGAAUUUAUAGAAAAAGCUAAUCAGGGAGUGAUUUACAUGAGCUUUGGUGCCAAUAUUUAUGAUUUCCCCUCGGAAAAACUACAACUAUUUUUUGAUGUUUUUGAAACACUGCCGGAUAUGCGUUUUAUAAUUAAAUACGAUGAACCAGACUCAUUACCUUUAACUUUGAAUAUAAGCAAACAAAUAUUGUUAAACAAUUGGUGGCCCCAACAGGCAAUAUUGGCCUAUAAAAACGUUAAAAUCUUUAUAACCUCCGGUGGUUUUAUGAGCAUUACCGAGGCUUUGUUUUACGAGAAAUAUAUUCUGGCCAUACCCAUUACCCCGGAACAAUGUGUGUUAACAGAAAAACUUUCCAAACAAAAUGCCGCCUAUAAGCUUAACUACAACGAUUUGGCCUAUGAUCAAUUAAUGUAUGCCAUACAACAGCUAUUACAAGACAAAUCACAAUAUCAAUCAUCUGUUUUGGAAUUAAAACAACAAUUAUUGCAAAAUCUAGACCACUUGAGUCCCUUAACAAGAACACUUAAUGCCAUAGAAAUGACUUUAGCCUCAAAUGGUUUAGAUUAUCUCAAGCCUCACUCUCACCAUUUAAAUUUUUGGAAUUCUAUACUAAUCGAUGUUAUGUUUACCUUAAUUUUGGGUCUAUUAGCGAUCUUAGCCAUUCCCUUUCUACUGACCAGUUGUAUAUUAAAACGUUCUUAUCAAAAUCAAACUAAACUAAAUUUACUCAAUCAACAACAAAAUAAUCAUCGUUAUUAUUGCAAAGUUAAUGAUUUCCUAACAUCUACCACACCACCUCGAAAUUGCGGUAAUAACAAAAAACAGCAUAAGGAGAAUACAGAAGACAAUAUGGAUGUUCUAAUGAGACCUAUGGGCAGCAAACGUAGAAAUUCUGAUGUAAAUUCUAAAAAACGAAAACGUCUAUCUUCGAAUAGUUCCUCUUCUUGUUGCAAUUGUUCGGUUUCAUCCUCCUCAGCACCCACUACUCCUUUGGCUAAAAGGGAAUCACCUUUUUUCGAUCAGGUUUCUGGGGACAACGUUAAAGACAUAUGAGAAAAUUUAUUUUUCUUAAAUUUUUAUUAGUUUUAAUAUAAUCGAUAAUAUUGUUUUAUGUGUAUGUAUGUGUUUUUUAUGAAAUACUUUUUGCAAUAAUUGUUAUUUUACACUGUAUACUCUAAUGUGUGUGUGUAUUUUCUUUAAGUACAUGGUAUUAUAAAUGUUUAAAAAUAUAUAAACAAAAUAUAAAAUAAACACUCAAAACAUCACUCUAUCUUUAUGUGUUAUACAUAUAUGAAUUUUUAACAAUUAUCUUAAGAAAACUUAGAGCAUACACAGAAAACAAAAAGAAACCUGGCACUAACAAAGACCGGGACAAAGACGCUGGCAUAAAGCUUGCAGUUGCCAAAUCAGAAACCAAUUAUACAUUUUCUACUUCUAGUUGUGUACCAACCUCCGACUCUAGUUUUAGGUGCUACAACAACAGCCGGAGAAUCCGAGUUGACGGAAAUGUGAUAAGGAUCUUUUGGCCAAACAUUAACAUGACCUCCAACUAAUAAUGUUUUUGGACAGAGAUGGUAUAAUGCAACUGUCCAACUAAAAGGGGGACUAGCAAAUGAAACGGAGGCUCUUCGGAACCGCCGGAAGCAAAUUGCAAAGACAGCUAUUGUAUGUAGCUGCAACGCCACAAAGUUAAUUGACUCACUGAUAAUAAAAACUUGCGAAAUUGCAACAAAACUUAAAUAAAUGCUUAAGAUAUGUGAUUUUUGCAAUGAAAAUCAUAAAAAAAGAAAAAAUAUUGAAAAAAAAAAUUGGAAAACCAACCCCCUGCUUCAAUAAGUAAGAAACCAUCAAUUUUACCAACAAAAUCAAAGAUUUAUCUUUUUCUUUGCUUUAUCUUUUAUAAAUUUUCCUAAUUUUAGUAAUAAUCAAUCAAUUUCAUUACUAACCUUUUUGCUUAAAUAAAUUUUGCACAAAAUUUUCACUACCGAUGUUAAA